rnacentral:lncRNA from 1 species
AUAGAAUUUCCUUUUUCCAUCCAGUGAUCUGGUUUUCUUGCUUUCUGAUCCCUAUAGGCAGCUGUCUCUUUUGUGCAUAAUCGGGCUUGGGCUCAUAUCAUCACAGAAGAUUUUCUUUCAGUCUGGCCGCUUCUGCAAGGUCCAAGUUUUCUCGCACCUCUAAGCAGGUGUGGGGUGAUAACUGGGGGGGUGAUAUUAUUAUGUGUUUUGAGGAGAUCAAGAUCAUCACACAUUUGGAGAUUGUGCCGUGUGUCAGAGGGGUUAUCCCUUGACUAUGGCUAAGGUCAGCCUUGGUUAAGUCUCAGGAAGCGUGGUGACAGCAUAUGAUUUUAUUUUUUGUAGUUGCUGAAUCUAUUUUAAUUAUAUAUUUCAAUUCCAAUAGCCUUUGAUAUUACAGUUAGUAGAUCUGAUGUGAGUCCU